rnacentral:rRNA from 1 species
GACGAACGCUGGCGGCGUGCUUAACACAUGCAAGUCGAACGGAAAGGCCCUGCUUUUGUGGGGUGCUCGAGUGGCGAACGGGUGAGUAACACGUGAGUAACCCGCCCUUGACUUUGGGAUAACUUCAGGAAACUGGGGCUAAUACCGGAUAGGAGCUCUUGCUGCAUGGUGGGGGUUGGAAAAUUUCGGCUGUUGGGGAUGGACUCGCGGCUUAUCAGCUUGUUGGGGGGGUAGUGGCUUACCAAGGUUUCGACGGGUAGCCGGCCUGAGAGGGUGAACGGCGACCAUGCGCCUAAGAGAGGGCGCAGACGGCAACGGGAGGCAGCAGUGGAAAGUAUUACGCAGUGAGCGGGAGCGUGAUACGACGGCGCCGCGUGCGGAAUGCCGGCCUACGGGUUGAGAACCGCUUUGGCAUGAACCGAAGAGUGAGUGACGGUAAUGAAUAAGAAAGCACCGGCUAACUACGUG